GUGAGGAAUAUUGCGCAAUGGAGGCAACUCUGACGCAGCCAUGCCGCGUGCAGGAAGAAGGCGCUACGCGUUGUAAACUGCUUUUAACCGGGAAGAAACCCCAGGACGUGUCCUGGGUUGACGGUACCGGAGGAAUAAGCACCGGCUAACUUCGUGCCAGCAGCCGCGGUAAUACGAAGGGUGCAAGCGUUAUCUGGAUUCAUUGGGUUUAAAGGGUGCGUAGGCGGAGCGUUAAGUCAGUGGUGAAAUCCUGCAGCUUAACUGUAGACUUGCCAUUGAUACUGGCGCUCUUGAGUGCGCUUGAAGUGGGCGGAAUGUGCCGUGUAGCGGUGAAAUGCUUAGAUAUGGCACAGAACACCAAUUGCGAAGGCAGCUCACUAAGGCGAUACUGACGCUGAGGCACGAAAGCGUGGGGAUCGAACAGGAUUAGAAACCCGGGUAGUCC
rnacentral:rRNA from 1 species